rnacentral:rRNA from 1 species
UACGAAGGGGGCUAGCGUUGCUCGGAAUCACUGGGCGUAAAGCGCACGUGGGCGGAUUGCUAAGUCAGGGGUGAAAUCCUGGAGCUCAACUCCAGAACUGCCUUUGAUACUGGCGAUCUCGAGUCCGGGAGAGGUGAGUGGAACUGCGAGUGUAGAGGUGAAAUUCGUAGAUAUUCGCAAGAACACCAGUGGCGAAGGCGGCUCACUGGCCCGGUACUGACGCUGAGGUGCGAAAGCGUGGGGAGCAAACAGG